CUCGUAGGCGGUUCAGUAAGUCGGGUGUGAAAACUCUGGGCUCAACCCAGAGACGCCACCCGAUACUGCUGUGACUUGAGUACGGUAGGGGAGCGGGGAAUUCCUGGUGUAGCGGUGAAAUGCGCAGAUAUCAGGAGAACACCAGUGGCGAAGGCGCCGCUCUGGGCCGAAACUGACGCUGAGGAGCGAAAGCAGUGGGUAGCAAAACA
rnacentral:rRNA from 1 species